GGGUGAUAAGAAGGUUUGUAUAACGAGAAAAAGAAAUCUUAACAACCACCUAGAGUUUCAAGUAUGGAUAAAAUCUUGGAAUCGAUAACGAGAAAGUUUCGAGAAUUCUACAGCGAGGAUUAUAUGAAAGUAUCGCGUACCAACUGUAAAAUUAUAAAUC